GGGUCGUUAGCUCAGUUGGUAGAGCAGUUGACUUUUAAUCAAUUGGUCGCAGGUUCGAAUCCUGCACGACCCAACA
rnacentral:tRNA from 1 species